AAAGAAAGAGAAAGAAAAAAUAGGAAAAACCACUUCCGAAGGCAGUAAUAAGUCUUUUGGAAAUACAGUCUAAUUCUAAACCUGAUACAUGAUGCUAUGCGUUUAACAAUUCAGACUUCUGCCGGGAUUGUCUCUAAUUGAAAAGUCUCGCUUAGACUGGGUUGUUUCCGGAGGCUGCAGUCGCUCCAAUGGCAAGGCUUUAAUAUCAUCAUGCGCAGGUGUUCCGCCCAAGGAGGAAACGACUUGAAGUGCUACUUCGGCGGUUUUGGUAGGUGAAGAGUUGCGCCGAGCCCAUUGUUUGUGCUACUAGGGAAUACAUCGACUGUGAAGCGCAUUUCGUUAAACACUUUGCUCGCUGGCCGGCUGGAGAUUAUUCUGCUCUAUGGCCAGCCAAGUUCAGUUUAGAUCUGUUGGCGGAAUCAUACCAGCAAGAUCAGCAGAGAUUCAUAUUUUUUAAGAGAAAACUAGAGCAUCGCCCAGUCUUUAAGGACCAAUACUAGGCUUUUAUUGAGACGUACUUGCAAAUGGCACAUCGCAUCCAGUUGCAAUCACAGGAGAUAUCUGUAAAAUGUACCGGUGUAUCAGGGAUUCCCCUGAGGAUAGCUACAUGCAGUGCCUUGUGUGGAGAGAUUUUCCUCAAUAUGAUCUGAGCGUGUUAAAGCUGGAAGCUCUUAAGUAUGGCACGAAGCCUGCUUCCUACCUAGCUGUGAGGUCGAUUCAUCAAUUGUCUAUGGAUGAGGAGGCGGCAUUUCAGUGGGAGUUGAGAUUCUUCGAUGUGACUUUUAUGUUGAUUAUUUGAUAUCUAGCGCCAGCUCCAAAAAAGAAGAAAUCAACAUAAUACAUCAGACGUCCGCGCACUUGUCCAGAGCCACUUUUAAACUAAGGAAGUGGUGCUCAAAUGUACCGGAUGUUUUGGAAGAAGUUCCGGAAGAUGAUAAGAAGUAUUUUUGAAGUUUCAUGAUGGAGGCGAUUUUACAAACACACGGGAUACGGUGUCUGAUCAGCUGUUCCCAUAUUCAUCACUUCAAUCAACAGCAAGGCCAUGCCGACGUUCAGUUUUAUCCGCAAUCUCUCGGUUCUACGAUCACAAAUCACAAAGUCUAAUAUCUUUCUUCAUAUGUACCAAACCGAGUGGCUGCAAUUCAGGAGUGGUGAAAUGGAAUGGCGCUACAUUCACACUGCUUUAAAAACGGCAGUAAGAGCUCUUCCCAGCUAGCUUAACGACUCCCCUUUGUGGACUCAUGGACCGCUCUUUCUGAGCAGCCCCAUAACUUUCAAAGGGAUCCCAGAGCCAUGCUCUAGAGACAGGCGAGCACAACAACAUUUGUGGCUUUGCUAAAGCACUCAAGUCUUUUUUAAUAGUGUAUAGUUAGCGCAAGGGCCUGAUUGAGAUCUCUAACACUUGAAGACGACUAGCUAGUGCUGGACCCGAUACUGUGCACCGAAAAUACAGAUCCCUAGAAUCCGGACACUUCGAUCGAACGUUUCAUACUUCAGUUAUAAUUCAAUAUUAUUAACUAAGAAAAGUGUUACUUUAGCUAGUCUAAAUAAUUCUUGGAUAACAGUUUUGUGAGUAUUAUUGAGUGAGCAUUUUUGACAUUUUUCUGUGUAUUCUUUUCUAAGACAAGGUAUUUUAAAUGCCUGUACGUCCUUCCUUAUUGGAUCGUCAUGUAGCGUAGACAAAAUUGCUUCAUUUUCGGUAAUUACUAGCUAUUAUCUUACUUUUCUCAAUACACUGAUGCCCAUUUUUUUUAAAUGAGCAAUUGAAACGUAAUCAAAGAUAUUUUCCCACGGUGACACUUUAAAUUGACUGAUUUUGUAUAUACCGGCCUAUUUUUCAAGCAUUAGAAAAAAUGUAUCUACAUCAAUUUGUAUAUCAAUCAUCAACAUUAUAUCUUUUAGUAAUUAUUUUUCCAUGAUUAAGACAACAUAGCAUAGAACAUAGCUUUUUUGGAUUUGUUCAUCUACUUCAAUAAAUUAUAUAUAUAUAGUGACAUAAAACCUAAAUUUUAAAAAGAAUUACUCUUCAAAAGCCUCACAGCAAAUGUUAAAGGAUAAGAAACUUAACUUAUCGAUAAACAUAAAUGUAAAGCUUCGUUGAACUUUAAAGUUUGCUGGGCCAUAGGAAUAAUUGUAUAAAUCACUUAUUAGGUGUCUCAGAUGAAAUGAACUAAAUAUAAGUCUAUAAAAUAAAAAUUAUAAUUAAAAAACAAGAGAGAAUGCUACAGUCGACUUUACCGACUAUCUGAUAGCCGUUACUCAGCUAGUGCGAACGCGUAAUUUCAUAAUUUUUAUGGGAUACCGGUAGAUAUUGGUGAAUAAAAUGGGAAAAAAAUUAAAAAUGGUUUAAAAGUGUGGGCGCGGCGGUUUUCGACGGUUUGUGGGUCUGUAUGCUUAAUCCAACCUUCUAGCCUUUAUAAUUUUUGAAAUCUGACAUCCUAGACUGUCAUAACUUUGUAUAUUGACAAAUCAAAGUCGUUGUCGCAUUACUUACCGCCUCUUUAGUUAAAUCAGAAGGUAUUCCAGAGGUGAAUGCCAUGUUCGUUGCGGUGGGUAGACAAUGGUCAAAGAUUUUUAUCGAGCUUUUACAAAUUUUGUUUGACGUAAAUGUUGGGAGUGAACUC